AACGUAGUCGUUCUCAGCAACACGGUCCAAAAAGUCAGUGCAGCGAAAACGGACGAUCCGAAGAAGAAUACUGAAUACCCUUUUUCAUUUCUCUCUCUCUCUCUCUCUCUCUCUCUAGAAUAAUCUUCUUCUUCUACCAUUUCUCACUAAUAACUCAUCAGUAAGACAAACCUCGUUUUCUACAUUUCACCAUUUUUCUCUUCAAUUCACUCUCACAACCUUUUCUCUCUUCAGUAAAUAUAACGCUUUAUUAUUUUUAUUUUCUUAUUAUUUUUCACUCUCUUGUUUUUGUAUUUUAUGUACUCGGCGAUCUUCAGGAUCAGCUUGAUCUUAAUAUAAAUGGGAAUCUUCUAGAACAAAACCCAGAGGAAAAAAAGAAAUUGAAGACCUGAAACUCUGACAGGUGAAAAUAAAGAAUAAAUAAAAAAAGAUAAAACUCUUUUUUUUUUAUUCCUCUCCCCAGUUUUUUGUUGUUUCUGUUAUUGGAUUAUGGCUGUUGCUGAGAAUGCCGGGGCCAAAAUCGGUGCUUCAAGUGAAGAUUUGGAAAAAAGUGUAGUGUCAUCUGACUCAAAUGCCCCAAACGAAGAACUGGAGAAACCGAAACCCCGAAAUGGUUCUGUUGGAAACGGUGUAGAGACCGAUCAGAAUCUCAAUGGUGUUGAUGGCGUUGCAGCCACUGUCUCAGUCCCUAACGGCAAUCACAAACCCCAAAUGGGUCAGAUGCAAAAUGGUUUGGACACAAACGGUGGUGGUGUCCAGGGGCAGCAGGUUGUGGCGAACAAUGGCGGCGGCGGAGGUGGUUUUAAGAUGGGCCAUCAGAUAGGUAAUGGAGUGAUGAAUGGAGGAGAGGACGGCGAGAGCUUCAAACGCGAAAUGAGGGAUUUGGCUGAGCUCUUGUCAAAGUUGAACCCUAUGGCUGAGGAGUUUGUGCCCUCUUCACUUGCAAAGAAUCAUGGGUACUUGCCCGGAGCUGGAGGGUUCGGUUUCCCUAACAAUUUGCUACUUCCUGCAAAUUUUGGCAAUGCUAAUGGACAGCCUAAUAGAAGGAGAAAGAAUGGCUACAAUAACCAGGGGAAGCAAAGAGCAAAUCAUAAAAUAGAAAUGGAGAGACGGGAAGAGAUGAUUAGGAGGACUGUUUAUGUCUCCGAUAUUGAUCAACAAGUCACUGAAGAGCAACUGGCAGCUCUCUUUCUUAACUGUGGCCAGGUUGUUGAUUGCCGUGUAUGCGGGGAUCCAAAUUCUAUUCUUCGUUUUGCCUUCAUUGAGUUUACGGAUGAAGAUGGUGCAAGAGCUGCUUUGAACUUGUCUGGCACCAUGCUUGGAUAUUACCCGGUGAGAGUGCUGCCAUCUAAAACUGCCAUUGCACCUGUUAAUCCGUCAUAUUUGCCCAGGUCUGAAGAUGAAAGGGAGAUGUGCUCAAGAACUAUUUAUUGCACAAAUAUUGACAAAAAGGUUACUCAAGCUGACGUUAAACUCUUCUUUGAAUCUCUUUGUGGAGAGGUUCAACGCUUGAGGCUUCUUGGGGAUUACCAUCAUUCGACUCGAAUUGCAUUUGUCGAGUUCACAAUAGUUCCUUUUAUCAUCUAGGCUUUGUACGGCUCAACUUACAUUUUUUCCCCCCACGUAUGAUGCAUCUAUGGAGUUGGAUUUUGUUUCUCGCUUGGGUGUUCUUGGCCUAUUUGUCCCUAGUCAAUGUAGUAUGUGCAUAAAGAUUGUAAGCUUUAUAUCACUGAUAUUGUUUAAAUGCUGAAAGUGCAAUUGCUGCUCUGAACUGUAGUGGUGUGAUUUUGGGUACGCUGCCGAUAAGGGUAAGUCCAUCGAAGACACCAGUCCGUUCUCGUGCACCUCGUGGCUCAGUGCACUGACUCAUCACUCAUCAUUCCAUGUCUUUUGGUGUUCAUUGCUGCUCAGAUAUCUUUACAUAUAUACAUACAACAAAUAUUUCCUAAGGUACCUGUGGCGAUUAGUUGUGGUUAAAGUCCGGCGUUAUGCUAUCCUUGUUUCCUGCUUGGGAGUUAUGGAUAUUGUGUUUAGUUCGUAGAGUUGGAUGGGGCCUCAAGAGGAUCUUAAUGGCUUAAUUUAUGACAAUGUGACUGUUUAUCUCGAAAUGAGACACUUUUGUUGUUCGAAGUUCCUCGCGCACUGGAAUUUCUUGAAAAAGAAACUAGUUACAAGGCUUUGUUCCUCGUUAGCUGUUAAUGUGGUUACCACAAUCUUUUUUUGAGUUUUUUUUUUUAAAUUUCAUUUCUUUCCUGUAUGCUAGUGUUUUACCCCUUUGUCUACAUUAAAUUAGUUAAUUAGCUUA